GAUAAUAUAAUGAUAUUCUACAGCUCUGCUCCUCAUGAUAUUCUAUAGCUCUGCUCCUCAUGUCCUGCCUCUCAACUGUGACAGAAUGACGGACUGAACCAGGAACAAGCAGAGCUGAACCAUGGGGGAGCUCCUCAACAGUAAGGAGGUUGUCACCGAUGAGGAUUACCUCCAUCGUCGUUUUUAGUCAGUGAACCCGAGCAGCACCGACGCCAGCAGGCACCAGAAUACAGGCACCAGAAGACUCCGUAUACAAUUUAUUUGGGGGGACCUUCGGGGGGAUGGGAGGUGAAGGCCCUGCUGACAUUCAUGGGAGCUCAGGACAGAGCCCCUGCAGCCUUGGGAGCAGGAGUACCUUGAGAUGUCGGAUGAGGCAGACGAGAUAAUCCUCCCACCACACAACUGGGGGCUCUGGAGAGAGCCCCUGCAGCCUUGGGUGGAGGAAGUGGACUUCCGCUUCCUACGCUCGGGAAUCGGGUUCCACCGGUGCCGGCUCCAUGCAUCAGGGCGCCUGCGCUGGUCCCCAACCUGGCGCUCACUGCACCUUUCCCCUGCCCUGAGCCCCUAGUGCCUGUCCCCCUCCCUGAAUCACCAGUCCCUCACCUGGAGGGUGAGACGACGAGCCCCUGCCAUCGCCACCUCCUCUCUCUGCUGCAGCACCCUGUCCAGUAAAAAUGUUGUUUGUGUCCCCUCUAACGGGGUUAGACACAUUGUCAAAUAACAGGAAUUUGGUUUAAAUGGAAAAAGCAAAUCUUGGUUGGACCUUGUGUGCAAAAUGGCAAAUAUCCUCUCACACUGUCCUUUACUAUGGGAUUGGUCAAACCAAAGGCCACUGAAUUUUUCUUAAUAGUAAUUAAAUUGUUCUGACAAGUGGACAUAUUUUACAUUACAAUGUAGACAAGCCAUAAUCCGACCCCAAACAUUGAGCUCCAAUCUCACCCAUACCUGGAAGAAAGGGAAUGAAACAUACAGGGGCAACCAGCAUAUACACUUCCAACCCUGACCAGCAGAGGGAGCUCUCAAUUUAACAUGCAGCGCAUCCUACAUAGUGAGAAAUCUACAGCAGUAAUACGUAGUACAAUCACAGAUUACAGUGAUUAUGUGGCUGGAGGUCCUCAAAGAGAGGUUUGCGAAAAACUGGUUCUCUGGUCUCCAUCUUUCUGUCCAGACUGCUGUGUGGUCUACUGGUGGUGUUUCCAUUUCUACUGGUGUCCAUCAUACUGAUGGUG